UACGUAGGUGGCAAGCGUUGUCCGGAUUUAUUGGGCGUAAAGGGAACGCAGGCGGUCUUUUAAGUCUGAUGUGAAAGCCUUCGGCUUAACCGGAGUAGUGCAUUGGAAACUGGGAGACUUGAGUGCGGAAGAGGAGAGUGGAACUCCAUGUGUAGCGGUGAAAUGCGUAGAUAUAUGGAAGAACACCAGUGGCGAAAGCGGCUCUCUGGUCUGUAACUGACGCUGAGGUUCGAAAGCGUGGGUAGCAAACAGG
rnacentral:rRNA from 1 species